UACGGGGGGAGCAAGCGUUGUUCGGAUUUACUGGGCGUAAAGGGCGCGUAGGCGGCCACCGCAAGUCGACUGUGAAAUCUCCGGGCUUAACCCGGAAAGGUCAGCCGAUACUGCGGGGCUAGAGUGCAGAAGGGGCAACUGGAAUUCUCGGUGUAGCGGUGAAAUGCGUAGAUAUCAGGAGGAACACCGGUGGCGAAGGCGGAUCUCUGGGCCUUACCUGACGCUCAGGCGCGAAAGCUAGGGGAGCGAACAGG
rnacentral:rRNA from 1 species